GUUUGAUCCUGGCUCAGAUUGAACGCUGGCGGAAUGCUUUACACAUGCAAGUCGAGCGGCAGCGCGGGGGCAACCCUGGCGGCGAGCGGCGAACGGGUGAGUAAUGCAUCGGAACGUACCCAGUCGUGGGGGAUAACGUGGCGAAAGUCACGCUAAUACCGCAUACGUCCUGAGGGAGAAAGCAGGGGAUCGCAAGACCUUGCGCGAUUGGAGCGGCCGAUGUCUGAUUAGCUAGUUGGUGGGGUAAAGGCCUACCAAGGCGACGAUCAGUAGCUGGUCUGAGAGGACGAUCAGCCACACUGGGACUGAGACACGGCCCAGACUCCUACGGGAGGCAGCAGUGGGGAAUUUUGGACAAUGGGCGAAAGCCUGAUCCAGCCAUUCCGCGUGAGUGAAGAAGGCCUCGG
rnacentral:rRNA from 1 species